rnacentral:rRNA from 1 species
UACAGAGGGUGCGAGCGUUAAUCGGAAUUACUGGGCGUAAAGCGUAUGCAGGCGGAUCGUUAAGUCGGGGGUGAAAUCCCGAGGCUCAACCUCGGAACUGCCUUCGAUACUGGCGACCUUCGAGUCCGGGAGAGGUGAGUGGAACUCCGAGUGUAGAGGUGAAAUUCGUAGAUAUUCGCAAGAACACCAGUGGCGAAGGCGGCUCACUGGCCCGAUACUGACGCUGAGGCACGAAAGCGUGGGGAGCAAACAGG